rnacentral:rRNA from 1 species
UACGUAGGAGGCGAGCGUUGUCCGGAGUUACUGGGCGUAAAGGGUGCGCAGGCGGCCAUUGAAGUUUGCGGUGAAAUCUCCCGGCUUACCUGGGAGGGUGCCGUGAAAACUGGAUGGCUUGAGGCUCGGGGAGGGGCGUGGAAUUCCGGGUGGAGCGGUGAAAUGCGCAGAUAUUCGGGGGAAGGCCGGCGGCGAAGGCGCCUUUCUGGGAAAUUCCUGACACUGAGGCGCGAAAGCGUGGGGAGCAAACAGG